rnacentral:rRNA from 1 species
AGAAUCAACGCUGGCGGCGUGCCUAACACAUGCAAGUCGAACGAGAAAGUGGAGCAAUCCAUGAGUAAAGUGGCGCACGGGUGAGUAACACGUGACUAACCUACCCUUGAGUGGGGGAUAACCUAGAGAAAUCUGGGCUAAUACCGCAUAAUACCUUCGGGUCAAAGGAGCAAUUCGCUUAAGGAGGGGGUCGCGGCCGAUUAGUUAGUUGGCGGGGUAAUGGCCCACCAGGACUAUGAUCGGUA